rnacentral:rRNA from 1 species
GAUUCGAUUAGAGUUUGAUCAUGGCUCAGAUUGAACGCUGGCGGCAGGCUUAACACAUGCAAGUCGAGCGGUAGCACAGGGGAGCUUGCUCCCUGGGUGACGAGCGGCGGACGGGUGAGUAAUGUCUGGGAAACUGCCUGAUGGAGGGGGAUAACUACUGGAAACGGUAGCUAAUACCGCAUAACGUCGCAAGACCAAAGAGGGGGACCUUCGGGCCUCUUGCCAUCAGAUGUGCCCAGAUGGGAUUAGCUAGUAGGUGGGGUAAUGGCUCACCUAGGCGACGAUCCCUAGCUGGUCUGAGAGGAUGACCAGCCACACUGGAACUGAGACACGGUCCAGACUCCUACGGGAGGCAGCAGUGGGGAAUAUUGCACAAUGGGCGCAAGCCUGAUGCAGCCAUGCCGCGUGUGUGAAGAAGGCCUUCGGGUUGUAAAGCACUUUCAGCGAGGAGGAAGGUGGUGAGCUUAAUACGCUCAUCAAUUGACGUUACUCGCAGAAGAAGCACCGGCUAACUCCGUGCCAGCAGCCGCGGUAAUACGGAGGGUGCAAGCGUUAAUCGGAAUUACUGGGCGUAAAGCGCACGCAGGCGGUUUGUUAAGUCAGAUGUGAAAUCCCCGGGCUCAACCUGGGAACUGCAUUUGAAACUGGCAAGCUAGAGUCUCGUAGAGGGGGGUAGAAUUCCAGGUGUAGCGGUGAAAUGCGUAGAGAUCUGGAGGAAUACCGGUGGCGAAGGCGGCCCCCUGGACGAAGACUGACGCUCAGGUGCGAAAGCGUGGGGAGCAAACAGGAUUAGAUACCCUGGUAGUCCACGCUGUAAACGAUGUCGAUUUGGAGGUUGUGCCCUUGAGGCGUGGCUUCCGGAGCUAACGCGUUAAAUCGACCGCCUGUGGAGUACGGCCGCAAGGUUAAAACUCAAAUGAAUUGACGGGGGCCCGCACAAGCGGUGGAGCAUGUGGUUUAAUUCGAUGCAACGCGAAGAACCUUACCUACUCUUGACAUCCAGAGAACUUUCCAGAGAUGGAUUGGUGCCUUCGGGAACUCUGAGACAGGUGCUGCAUGGCUGUCGUCAGCUCGUGUUGUGAAAUGUUGGGUUAAGUCCCGCAACGAGCGCAACCCUUAUCCUUUGUUGCCAGCGGUUCGGCCGGGAACUCAAAGGAGACUGCCAGUGAUAAACUGGAGGAAGGUGGGGAUGACGUCAAGUCAUUAUGGCCCUUACGAGUAGGGCUACACACGUGCUACAAUGGCGUAUACAAAGAGAAGCGACCUCGCGAGAGCAAGCGGACCUCAUAAAGUACGUCGUAGUCCGGAUUGGAGUCUGCAACUCGACUCCAUGAAGUCGGAAUCGCUAGUAAUCGUAGAUCAGAAUGCUACGGUGAAUACGUUCCCGGGCCUUGUAGA